rnacentral:rRNA from 1 species
GAAUAUUGGACAAUGGGGGGAACCCUGAUCCAGCCAUGCCGCGUGUGUGAAGAAGGCCUUUUGGUUGUAAAGCACUUUAAGCGAGGAGGAGGCUACUAUAGUUAAUACCUAAAGAUAGUGGACGUUACUCGCAGAAUAAGCACCGGCUAACUCUGUGCCCGCAGCCGCGGUAAUACAGAGGGUGCAAGCGUUAAUCGGAUUUACUGGGGGUAAAGCGCGCGUAGGUGGACAAUUAAGUCAAAUGUGAAAUCCCCGAGCUUAACUUGGGAAUUGCAUUCGAUACUGGUUGGCUAGAGUAUGGGAGAGGAUGGUAGAAUUCCAGGUGUAGCGGUGAAAUGCGUAGAGAUCUGGAGGAAUACCGAUGGCGAAGGCACCCAUCUGGCCUAAUACUGUCACUGAGGUGCGAAACCAUGGGGAGCAAAC